AAGGGCGCCGUGCUCAGCGGGGAGUCUCCCUCGGCUCCACCGGAGGAGAUUCUACCCUUUUCUCAGACUACCGUCCACAUUUACCUGACAUCUACAUGUCAGCCGAUAGAAAUUUUACCUUGUGUUUCCAUUGCUCCGUCCUUCCCCGGCCUCACGCCCAUUAAAUAUCAUUUCACCACCCAAAAAACCCUCAAUUUCUCACUCAUCCCUCUGACCCCCUCUGACCCCCCCCCNNNNNNNNNNNNNNNNNNNNNNNNNNNNNNNNNNNNNNNNNNNNNNNNNNNNNNNNNNNNNNNNNNNNNNNNNNNNNNNNNNNNNNNNNNNNNNNNNNNNGCAGGUUGGGAGGGCAGGUUGGGAGGGCAGGUAGGGAGGGCAGGUUGGGAGGGCAGGUUGGGAGGACAGGUUGGGAGGGCAGGUUGGGAGGGCAGGUUGGGAGGGCAGGUUGGGAGGGCAGGUUGGGAGGACGUGUUGAGAGGGCAGGUUGGGAGGGCAGGUUGGGAGCGCAGGUUGGGAGGGCAGGUAGGGAGGGCAGGUUGGGAGGGCAGGUUGGGAGGGCGGGUUGGGAGGGCAGGUUGGGAGGGCAGGUUGGGAGGGCAGGUUGGGAGGGCAGGUUGGGAGGGCGGGUUGAGAGGGCAGGUUGGGAGGGCAGGUAGGGAGGACGUGUUGAGAGGGCAGGUUGGGAGGGCAGAUUGAGAGCACUGUGGGAACGAGUCCAGGGAACAGCAACAGCAGACGGCGUGUGAAGGUCCCACCGAAGUGCAGCUCUCAAAAUGCCUCCCCACUCUCACCCUCCUUUGACAGGGAUAUAAAAAACAUGCCACCAGUGCACAGAUCCCAAUCAGGACAAACAGCUUUACCGAGUUGGCCAUGUUUUAGGAAGUGUAUUAAUUCUUCUAUGAGGCAAUUUGUCCAUGGUGUCUAACUGGGCGGACCUCCAGAUGCAGCACAGCGGAGAGGUGUUCAUUGGACACGAGUGGAUCUUUUGGGAUCUGGUUCAUAUUCAUGUAUAUAUCUUCUACAUGUGGAAGACGGUAACAACCUGAGGGGGUUGGAAACUUGGAAACUGCAUUUUUUCUAGACUCAUGAAUUCUACAUGUACUGUUAUGUAACUCUUACCAAAAUAGUGUCUGUAGUAUUUUAAACCCUUCCAGCACAGCGUCUGAAGCCCACCGAUACUAUUCUGCUCCGAGGGUCCGACCCAACGCAGCGCAGUCAAUGGUGUCAGCGGGCAACGAUAAAUGGUAAAUGGACAGUACUAUAGCGCUUUUCUAGUCUUCUGACCACUCAAAGCGCUUUAACACUACAUGACAUCAUUCACCCAUUUACACCCAUUCAUACACUGAUGACAGGAGAACCAUACACAGUGACACCAUACAACCCUCGGAUUGGAGGACGACCGUGCUCCCCGCACACCCACAGUCGCCCACAGCACAGGGCUCCAUUCUUCCUCUGCAGUCAGAUGAGCCACCAAGACGGUUGAACAGGCAGAACAAAAAUAAAUGAAUUAAAGCAUAUAGUAGGUCUAUAAAGAGCACCGGACGAUGGGUUCCAAGAUGGCAAGGCUGGACUGGCUGCACUUUAAAGUCCUACAAGGUCCGAAGACUUUGGGUCCACAAUAAAAUGCAAAGCGGACAUGAUGUGAGGUGCUUUUUGGGGUCUCAUACGUCCUUUAUUCGUUUGGUAGGUUGGUACUCAGUUUUCAUUUGUAAGGAUUGGGAUAUGAAGCUGUUCCUGUGUUUCUGUAUAAGACUGGCAGAGAGAAGGGAGGGGGGGCAUGCAAAAGUGUGUUAAAUCCUUUGAAGCUUUUACGUGUCUUUAACCAGUGUUAAUACCCAAACAUCCAUCUGCUUCAUUCUGUGCUCUCCAUUUUGGAUUUACCGGCAAGAAUAAACAUCUUAGGAAGGGGAUUUUUUCAUCAGCCUUAAAAUGAUCCCACAACCAUGGCCACAAAAAUUAAAAGGUUAAGCUUUCUGGGUGCACUCAGCUUCCUGCUCGCUGCUGUGAAUCAAUC
ensembl:lncRNA